GUGCCAGCCGCCGCGGUAAUACGGAGGAUCCAAGCGUUAUCCGGAUUUAUUGGGUUUAAAGGGUGCGUAGGCGGACUGUCAAGUCAGGGGUGAAAGUUUAUGGCUCAACCAUGAAAUUGCCUUUGAAACUGUCGGUCUUGAGUGUAGAUGAGGUGGGCGGAAUUCGUAGUGUAGCGGUGAAAUGCUUAGAUAUUACGAAGAACUCCAAUUGCGUAGGCAGCUCACUAGGCUACAACUGACGCUGAGGCACGAAGGUGCGGGGAUCAAACAGGAUUAGAAACCCCGGUAGUCC
rnacentral:rRNA from 1 species